rnacentral:rRNA from 1 species
AUUGAACGCUGACGGCAUGCUUUACACAUGCAAGUCGAACGGUAACAGGCCGCAAGGUGCUGACGAGUGGCGGACGGGUGAGUAAUGCAUCGGAACGUGCCCAGUCGUGGGGGAUAACGCAGCGAAAGCUGUGCUAAUACCGCAUACGAUCUGUGGAUGAAAGCGGGGGACCGUAAGGCCUCGCGCGAUUGGAGCGGCCGAUGUCAGAUUAGGUAGUUGGUGGGGUAAAGGCUCACCAAGCCGACGAUCUGUAGCUGGUCUGAGAGGACGACCAGCCACACUGGGACUGAGACACGGCCCAGACUCCUACGGGAGGCAGCAGUGGGGAAUUUUGGACAAUGGGCGAAAGCCUGAUCCAGCCAUUCCGCGUGCAGGAUGAAGGCCCUCGGGUUGUAAACUGCUUUUGUACGGAACGAAAAGGUCCUGGUUAAUACCUGGGGCUCAUGACGGUACCGUAAGAAUAAGCACCGGCUAACUACGUGCCAGCAGCCGCCGUAAGAC